rnacentral:piRNA from 1 species
UGACCAACAAUUCACCACAUUUAAAACACUG